AAACACAAAAUGCACAGCUCACCCCUGUCAUGCAUCCGUGCAAUCCACAUUUGGUGCAUGGAUAACCCUCUUCUGGAGUAAUUGGUUCAAAAACAGAAGG